rnacentral:tRNA from 1 species
GGGCACAUGGUGUAGUUGGUUAUCACAUCCGCUUAGCAUGCGAAGGUGCUGGGUUCGACUCCCAGUGUGUCCA